rnacentral:lncRNA from 1 species
ACAUCUAAAUCCAGUGUCAGCUUUCCACUUUUGAGAGCUCCCAGGCUCGUCUGGACUUUUCUGAUUCAUCACCUUGUAUUCCCGCCUUCUCCGUACUCCAUAGAGAUUGAACUCCGUGGAUUCAUACAAACUUUCCAGUCCUCAGACUUUGAAGAGUCUUCUUGAUUAAUCUUCCAGGAUCGUCGUACGUUCUCGCUGUCCUUUU